UCAUUGGGCAAGGUAGACCCUG
rnacentral:miRNA from 1 species